UUUUUUCUGGAAAGGGCCAAAAAAGUUUGGGAACCGCUGCUCUAGAGCCACAGUAAUGAUCCCAUAAGAUUUAGCAAGUACUGUGAUAAAGGAGCAGAGGGCUUGGGCUAUGGUUUCCUGAAGACAAGGGAGCUAGGAUUACAAUAAAGAAUAACCUACCCAAAUAGAUGCCCAAACAUAGACAGUGAGAGAUGGAUGAAUGGGGAAAUUGGUAUCAUAAGACAUGGAUAGUUGGUGACCAAUAUAAAGUUAAAGAUGCCAGGAAAGAGAGUCGUACCAAGAGAGAAAUUCCUGGCUAGAGAUAGCAGCACAGUGAGGUACGAGUGAUAGAAGCCCUACUAGCAAAGGAUGGACAGACAGGGCAAGAAACCCAGAUUUCCAGGAGAGGAUGAAAGGAGAAAAUUUGAGAAUCUGUAGUGUUGGCUGGCAUCCUGACAUUGAGACAGGUGAAAGGACAAAUCUACAGAAUGGGGUUUGGAUGCUUACAAAGACCACCAAAGUGAGAAAUGGAGGGAUCAACUCCAGGACCAGGUCAGUUCCAUCCUUAGAAACCUAUACUGGGAGAUGACAGAGAGAGGCAUGGAUUCAUGCAGAGACUUAGCUAGGAACGGGUGGAUUAUUUGAGGGGACAGAACAGAGUUAGGUGUAGACACCGGGAUGGAAAUACACAGGCAGAAAAGAUAAAUAGAUAAAAGGACAGAUGGAAGGGAAGGGGAAAUGAGGGGAAAGAAUAGAAGUAUUUGAGGAAGGAAAGGAAGAUGAAAGAACAGAAGAUCAGGAAUGGCCAAGAGAGACCCAAGUGGAGCUACUCAACAGAUGGACCAGAGUGAUGAAUUCCAUGGAGAAAAUUCAACAGAUGGAGUGAACCUAUGGAUGGAGCGAUCCAGGCCAUGGAACAGCAAUCCUGAGAGAUGAACAUUUACUGCCUUGGUGGUUAUCUCAUGAGUCUGUCUGGGAGAUCCAGAAGCUUGGAAUGAGGUGCAAGUUGCCUGAUGGGAAAUGUUUCUUGCAACUGGACUCUUUUUCUGGAGGAAUAAGAGGCCAACUAGCAGGUGAUGAAUGUUGGCCACACAGUGGACCUCGUGCCCUUCAAAGGUUUGGCAGCUGGAGUCCAAGCCAAAGUUUCUAAUCCACUGAGCCUGGUCUGCCAACACAGCCCCGAGGAACAGAUGGGCCCGAGCUCAGCAGCCAAGAUGCCGGGGCCUACAAACAAGAAAGCAACCCUGUCCAUUGACUGUGCCACGGGCCGAAUGGACCUCGGCCAACUAACUCAACACUGCAGCAAAAGCUUUGAGGUGGACUCCGCUAUCCUCAGAGACCAGAGUGGGAUGGGGGAACGUGUGCCCCUGGACUUGAGAGGAGAGCUGUGCCUCAGUUCUUGCUCUAUCUUCUCAGCGGAUAGACUUUGAGAGCUGAAACAAUAAUCCUCUGGCAUUGCAGAGAGUCCAAUGGAGUAGGGGUUCAAGCCAAGAGCACUAGAAAAAGCCUUUCUGAACUUUCAGGGCUACUCCUGAAACCCUGAGGGGAGAUAUAUAAGCCGACUCCAAAGGGGAGAGAGCAUGGACUGCAGUUCCUACCUUUGCUCUCUCCUGUGACCUUUGGAGGGGUGGAGGAGGGACAGGCUUUAAAUGCCUGAGGACUAUUCCUCCAGCACCCAGAAAGGAAGCCUGGGAGGAAAAGCAGGAGGAGACAGUGCAGAUAUGAUUGUAUUUAGGCCCUUCUUCUUCUGAAUGUGGCCACUGUGUAUUGGUUGUGUCUGCUGAAUGAAAGGGUCUCUUAGGCCUGGGCCGGAGGGUGGCCACCGACUUGACUGGUUUUUUUUAUGCCUGAGCUGUAUUUCACCUCGAACUUAAACUAAGAAGCAGGCCAACACCACAGGCCUCAGUGGGGAGGGGAGAAGUCUAAGCACAUUUGGGAGAAUCUGUUUUGUGGCCAGUGGCCGGGGCUGGGUGGGGUGCUGCAAAAGCUUUUGAGGAAGGCUAUUUUGCUGACAAAGUGGGGCAACUCUGAUGGGAUCUCCAAGGUAGUGCCUCGAUCAAUAAUUCAUGAAUAGGAUACAGGAACUGUGUAGCCUGGGUACAGGAGCACAGGGCACUAGGCGCUGGGUAUCCACGCAGGUCACAAAGAGGAGGAUAACCAGGAGACACGUUCUGUAAAGGCAGCCCUCGAAGGUAAAAUUCUCUCCUUGAAAACAUAUAGAAAAAGAGAAGAUCAUUGAAGUGAGAAUAAUCAGAUGCUGCAAUGUUAGAAUUCACUCACAGGACGUUACAAAAGGAACCUCCCUACCCUCAGAGAAGCAAGUUUGAAUGGCGCCAACGCUGACCAUCAUCAGGGUGCCCCAGAAAGCUAGGAGCUGAGCUAGGCCUGGGAGACAGCUUCAUGUGUGAGCUUACACCUGGCCUCAGGAGGUGUGGGCGGUGUCCCUGCACAUCGAGGAGGAUGGUACAUCUUGCCCUUGCCCAGGGGCAAGGAGAGAGAGAUCUGGCCACAAUCCAUAGCCCUUCUCCUCCCUUUCGGAACAGCCGUCAGGGAGAGGAAGCCUAGCCACAACUCUCUGUCCCCUCUUCUCCUUGGCGCUGACUGCAAAGGAAGUCAGCACAGCUGAGGCAGGGAAGUUUGGGGAGUGGGAGCAGAUACUUCUAGGGGUCUCCAAAUACAGUACAAAUUAGAGGGAAAGGAAAUAAAGCUGUUAAUAAAUCCCAUUGUUGCUAUUCAUUGGAGCUGAUGGGUGAGGGGAGGCAGUAUCUGUGCCCUGGGAGAAAAGAUGUGCCUGCUGGGCUGCUUGGCGGAGGUGGAGAGUGUCGGGACAGUGAAAGAGGGUUGUCUAGGGAGUGAGGGGGCAGUGGGCAAGGGGCAAGGCUGGGCCUUCUCAGAGUCCUGCAGCUGGGGAGGAGACGAAGCACUCUGCUCCCAGUGCAGGUGGAUACACCUCAACUUCCUCCUCCCCCCAUGCAAAAGAAAGCUUACAGAUUCAUGGAAUCCGGCCACUGCCAACAUGCAUUGGCGCUCAUAAUCAGUAAUGCUGUGUGCUGAGGCUGGACCCCUGAAUCUACCUAAUGCUGCUUUCCCAGCCAUGCCCCUCUCUCGGAGCUCCUGCAGGGCCCCCAUGCAAAAGAAGACACCAGCAGAGGCAGAAAUUGAAGAGGGGCCCAAGUUGGAGCCUGAGGAGAGAGUUGACUAAAAUGGCGCCCUGCUCAGAGCAGGUCACCUGCGUUUGCCCACACUAGAUGCCUUGACAGGGCUGUGACAGCCAGAUGGCUGAUGUCCCUUGUGGAAGGGAAAAUCCUCAGACUUACAUAGUAUUAAAGAGAAAGAAAUGGGAUGAAAAGAAACAAAAUGAAUCUGAGCACCCAAAGCAAAGGAGUGCAGCCGCGAGGCACUGCUCAGGCAGGGUAGAAAGAAAAAAGGAGACGGGAGCCAGGGCCCCCUGCGGCUGCCAUUCUGCAGCCUCAACACCUGAGAGGACCUGCUGAAAUGAUGCCAUGCAAAGCUCAUUCCCCAGGGUGCCUCUGGGAGGGAAAAGCCCAGAGUGAAAGCUCUGCCUCCUCCCACCGGGAUUAAUGAGGAACUGAAUGGCCCCAUCUGCCCCUGGGGUGGGGUGGGGGGGAGUUUGUGGCUUGGAAAUCCCAAGGCGGGGGUGGAGCAACCUAGGAUUCAGUUUUACUCUUCUGAUUACAACUUUCUCCAGUAUGUUUUGGUCCAAACCUAUUUCCAUUUUGAUCAUUUUUGUGAGUGACCGACCUCAUACGACCCAAAUAAACAAGUGGCAAAUCA